CUGGAGAACUGGAGGAUAAGCUCCUAUCUCUCUGGAGGCCUAACAUGGGGGCGGCUUCUGCUGCCUCUCGUUCCCAGGUCACCCUUCUCCGGGUCAUAUUGCCCCGGGGGUGCGGUAGGGUGCGGGGGCGGCGGGGUGUUGGCGGGGGUAUGGAGCCUGUUGCUUGGGAGCUGGUGGUUUAGCUCCCAUCUCUUCCGCAGCUUGGCCUGGGGGCAGCCUCUGUUGCCCCAGGUCGCAAAGCACAGUUUCCCUGACAGCUUAGCCACCGGAGGUGGGCAGGAUGUGCUGAGGGGUCGGAGGCAGCUGCCAAGGCAGCGACGAAGGGGGCUGUCCCUGGCCAGCUGGUCAAUUUGUUCCCAUCUCAACCUUUGCUCCCCCAGUUUCGCAGAACGCCCUUCUCCAGUUUAUCCUUCUCCUGGGAGGUGACAUUUUAGGUUAUUGGGUCACAGAUUGCUGGCACACUCAUCCCUAUUCUCAAACAUCUUUUAAACUUGGGUGAAGUGAUAAGUAGGAGAAGAUGAUUUACUGAAAGAGUCUCCCGAGAACAGAUUCAGACUGAACAGCUUUGUGUCAGACUUUGGAAGACCGCUGCUGCCCAAGGUGUUCUCUGGCAGGGCAAUGACAAAUCCAGGUCCCUCUUUCACUGCUACAUCAAUGAAGUGGACCACUUGGACAAGGCCAAAGCUGGUAUUCCAACCAUAGCCCUUUACAGUGAUAUUCGGCUCCAGGAAGCCGUCAGAUGCAGCAGGUGGCCAGAGGAGGAGCCGAACAGGCUCAUGAAAUGUGACAUCCCCAACUUCAUCAACACGGACCAGAACUCUUCCUUUGGGGAUGAUGAUCUCCUGAUUUUGGAACCGCCGAUUGUUCUAGAAAAUAAGCCAGUUGCC